UAACCAUGGUGAGGACAAGCAUUUAAAAUAUCCUUAAACCUUUCCCAACUUUGACAAAAAGUUUCAGUAUCUUUUUGGGUAAAGUUCAUAAUAUGUUUGCAUUU